AAGUCGUAACAAGGUCUCCGUUGGUGAACCAGCGGAGGGAUCAUUAUCGAGUUCUAAACUCCCAAACCAUUGUGAACAUACCUAUGUUGCCUCGGCGGGUUCACGCCCGCCGGCGGCCAACCAAACUCUGUUUUCUAGAGAAUCUUCUGAGUUAUCUUAUAAAUAAGAAUUAAAACUUUUAGCAACGGAUCUCUUGGCUCUGGCAUCGAUGAAGAACGCAGCGAAAUGCGAUACGUAAUGUGAAUUGCAGAAUUCAGUGAAUCAUCGAAUCUUUGAACGCACAUUGCGCCCGCCAGCACUCUGGCGGGCAUGCCUGUUCGAGCGUCAUUUCAACCCUCAGAACCCCUUCGGGGGAUCUGGCGUUGGGGAUCGGCAGCCCGCCGGCCCCGAAAUAUAGUGGCGGUCUCUCUGUGACCUUCCCUGUGUAGUAGCGAUACCUCGCAGCGGGAUAGCAGUCUGGCCACGCCGUAAAACACCCAACUUCUCAAGGUUGACCUCGAAUCAGGUAGGAAUACCCGCUGAACUUAA
rnacentral:rRNA from 1 species